UACGAGUGGUGCAAGCGUUAUUCGGAAUCAUUGGGCGUAAAGGGUGUGUAGGCGGUUUAUUAAGUCAACUGUUUAAUUCUCUGGCUCAACCGGAGGUCAGCGGUAGAAACUGAUAGGCUAGAGGGUGAGAGAGAGAAGUGGAAUUCUCGGAGUAGCGGUAAAAUGCGUAGAUCUCGAGAGGAACACCAAUGGCGAAGGCAGCUUCUUGGCUCAUUCCUGACGUUAAAACACGAAAGCGUGGGGAGCAAACAGG
rnacentral:rRNA from 1 species